rnacentral:rRNA from 1 species
UACGGCUCAGUAACACGUAGCUAACCUGCCCUAAUGUCGGAGAUAAUGUCGGGAAACUGACCCUAAUAUUCGAUAGAAGACGGUGACUGGAAUGUCCUGUCUUUCAAGUUAGGAUGGGGCUGCGGCUGAUUAGCUUGUUGGCGGGGUAAUGGCCCACCGAGGCAUCGAUCAGUAAGGGCUCUUAGCGGAGAAGCCCUGAGAGGGAAUCUGAGACACUAUUCCCAGCCCUACGGGGUGCAGCAGUCGGGAAACUUCUGCAAUACACGAAAGUGUGACAGAGCAAGCCAGAGUGCGUUUCUAUAAUUGAAACGCUUUUAUGCGAUGUAAAAAGUCGCAUGAAUAAGGACUGGGCAAGACUGGUGCCAGCAGCCGCGGUAAU